GACAGCCCAUCAGCUCUGAGCUGCAGAAAAGCCAAGGCAACCCUGGCAGGGUCUGCGUUUACUUCUUUCACUUGCUUCUGCUCGGGGUGGAGGAGUGGGACUGGGGAGGCCAGCGGAGCCUUCCAAUUCCUCCCCAGGGCAGAGGGGGAAUGGAAGUCCUGGCGGUGGAGCUGGAGCUCCGCAUCCUCCUGGCCCUGCUCAGUGGCUGUGGUGAGGGCCCCAUUCUAGCCUGUGCUGGAAUUAAUAUUGGUCCACAGAGUGAGAUGGAGAUGGAACAUUAUUUUUUCCUAAACAGCCGUUUGCCCCAGGCCUGCUGGUUGAUUUCUCCUUUCUUCACUGAUUUGCUAUGUCAACUUGUAAUAAAAGAACAUUCUUAUGUGUUCUUGGACUUUAUUGUCUGGCUGCGUGUAUUGAUGUGUUUCUUUGUUUUGGCAUCAUUUGUUUCAGGGACAUUUGCGAAGUCAAAGCAAAACACAACUGCUU
rnacentral:lncRNA from 10 species